UUUAAUUAAAAAAAUUAUCACUUUCAAUAUGUACAUUUUACAAAAAUAUAAUUUGUUCAUUGUAACUGAAAAUUCUAUCAAAAGUUAACAUAUCAAAACCUUUGUUAAUAAAAGUUUUGAGCCAAAUCACAUACUAAUAGUUUUCUCUCUCUCCUCUGUGAUGUCCCUGAUUGAGCUUCUGGAGCUUCUGGAGCUGCCCCUGAAGAGGACAGAUGCUGUGUCCAAUGCAGAGCAGUCUGCACCCUUGAGUGAAACUUGGAUAAUGCGAACUAAGAGGGGGGCCUGAACUUUGCUGUGCACCUUACUUGGUGUGAUGACCUAGUCUCCUCUGGGACCACUACUUACCUGCAUGACACCAAAUUGGGAGAAUGACUUAAAGAAAAUAAACUUACACUCCUGCGUUGGAUUUUCUGUUCUAAAACCAUCAGACAAGCAACAAGUCCUCGCUUGGUGAGACAUACUUGAGGCUGAAGUUUUGUCUUCCGAGAAGAAGGGAGUUGGGGAUGAGGAGAGAUUUGGAGGGAACAGCAAGGUCUCAAUAGAAAAAAAAACCCCAGAAAAGCCGUAUUUCAAAGCAGGAAGCAGUCAGAACUUGAGUCCCCAGGAUUCCCUGUUGAGCAGGAUAGUGAAGCUCACAACAGUGAUUACAUCAGCCUCAUAACGAGUCAGUUUUGUCUUUUGGUUGGUUGUAGUUUUGAACCAUAUUUAUUGUUUUAUGAAAGAGUUCUAUGUGAA